rnacentral:rRNA from 1 species
UGGGGAAUAUUGCACAAUGGGCGCAAGCCUGAUGCAGCGACGCCGCGUGAGGGAUGACGGCCUUCGGGUUGUAAACCUCUUUCGGCAGGGACGAAGCGCAAGUGACGGUACCUGCAGAAGAAGCACCGGCCAACUACGUGCCAGCAGCCGCGGUAAUACGUAGGGUGCGAGCGUUGUCCGGAAUUACUGGGCGUAAAGAGCUCGUAGGCGGUUUGUCGCGUCGUCUGUGAAAUUCUGCAGCUUAACUGCAGGCGUGCAGGCGAUACGGGCAGACUUGAGUACUACAGGGGAGACUGGAAUUCCUGGUGUAGCGGUGAAAUGCGCAGAUAUCAGGAGGAACACCGGUGGCGAAGGCGGGUCUCUGGGUAGUAACUGACGCUGAGGAGCGAAAGCGUGGGUAGCGAACAGGAUUAGAUACCCUGGUAGUCCACGCCGUAAACGGUGGGUACUAGGUGUGGGUUCCAUUUCACGGGAUCCGUGCCGUAGCUAACGCAUUAAGUACCCCGCCUGGGGAGUACGGCCGCAAGGCUAAAACUCAAAUGAAUUGACGGGGUCAUAGCUGUUUCCU